GUCGAAAUGAAGGGGAGAUGUCUACGUGUAAUUCGAUUGCGUACGCAAACAACAAUGAAAUGAGAAAUUGCUUUGCGUAUUAAGUCACCGUGGAGAUAGUGUCUCUGUUUCUUAUACUCAUUUGGUUUGAGAAAGAUCCUAUCAAGGAGCUGAUCCGGACAAUCCGUGAAACAACCGUAACAGGAUCUCCUGCGGAUCUCCACGGCUACGGAUAUCCCGGGGGAGUCCCACGGAGGUUCAUUUUCGGAUAUGAACAUAGGGAUCUAUUUCGGACGUCCGUGGGAGAUGGUGUUCUGCCUGGCAGGACAUCCAGGAGACCAGGAUUUCGGCACUAACCACACGUCGCAGGAACGUACCUGUGACAUCCCAAACGGAACAAAACUUCCCGUGGUGCUCCUGGGGAUAUCCUUUCCCGGGAAGCUCCCGGGAAUUCGGAUCUCCUUGGGAGAAAGACAUAUUUUUCCGACAGACGUCCCCCACAUCUCCGAGUGGCCGUGGUUUGGACUUCCCACAAAGAUCCGUCGUUUGUCCUCACAGGAAGUUGCACGGAGAUGCCGGGACGUUGCACGGACUUACUUGCGUACGU